ensembl:snRNA U5 U5 spliceosomal RNA
AUUUGUUUACUUCUCUUCAUCGUAUGAUUCUUUCGCCUUUUACUAAAGAAUUCCGUGGAGGGGAGCAUUUCAAUGAGUCUUAAGAUAUUUUUCUGCAUCUGACUUUGGUCAUGA